rnacentral:rRNA from 1 species
AGUGAACGCUGGCGGUAGGCCUAACACAUGCAAGUCGAACGGCAGCACAGUAAGAGCUUGCUCUUACGGGUGGCGAGUGGCGGACGGGUGAGGAAUACAUCGGAAUCUACUUUUUCGUGGGGGAUAACGUAGGGAAACUUACGCUAAUACCGCAUACGACCUACGGGUGAAAGCAGGGGAUCUUCGGACCUUGCGCGAUUGAAUGAGCCGAUGUCGGAUUAGCUAGUUGGCGGGGUAAAGGCCCACCAAGGCGACGAUCCGUAGCUGGUCUGAGAGGAUGAUCAGCCACACUGGAACUGAGACACGGUCCAGACUCCUACGGGAGGCAGCAGUGGGGAAUAUUGGACAAUGGGCGCAAGCCUGAUCCAGCCAUACCGCGUGGGUGAAGAAGGCCUUCGGGUUGUAAAGCCCUUUUGUUGGGAAAGAAAAGCAGCAGGUUAAUACCCCGCUGUUCUGACGGUACCCAAAGAAUAAGCAUCGGCUAACUUCG